AAGAAAGUGCUUGACAUGCAGGAGGAAUGGGAAAGUCAGUCUCCAUGAAAGGCAGCAGUGGUGGAAAAUCAGCUUUGAGCAGGAGAAUUACAGGGCCUGAUCGACAUGAGGACAACUCUGGACAUGAGAAUAAGAAGGAAAUCAGCAGUGGGAAGGCAAUGGGAAAGAUCCAGAUUCCAGCAGAAUAUCAAAUGAGCAGAGCGAAAUAUCUGUUACAUACCACUCACUCCACUGACCUCAGUGAAACAUUUGUUUCACUAUCCAGAUGGAACAAUUGAAAUGUCUGCAUUAUUAAGAAGCAGUCAGGAUUCAUUAAGUUUCCAUUUGGCCUCGCCCCAGCCUCUCUUGUACUGCCUUUGGCCAAUAACCAUUCAUCAAGCAUUUGUUUGCCAUGAGCCUAUGAGACAGGAUCGUCUGCCCAAGUGGAAUCAGAAGCAUUUCACCUAAGAAUUGGGAAGAAUUUCAUGUCUGCUUGAAAAUAUGCUUUUCCAGGGCAGUUUUCCCUGCUCAUCUAUAAUUAUGGAAUUGAACAAUGCUGAUCUCUG
rnacentral:lncRNA from 10 species